rnacentral:rRNA from 1 species
UACGUAGGGUGCGAGCGUUAAUCGGAAUUACUGGGCGUAAAGCGUGCGCAGGCGGUUUUGUAAGUCUGACGUGAAAUCCCCGGGCUUAACCUGGGAAUUGCGUUGGAGACUGCAAGGCUGGAGUCUGGCAGAGGGGGGUAGAAUUCCACGUGUAGCAGUGAAAUGCGUAGAGAUGUGGAGGAACACCGAUGGCGAAGGCAGCCCCCUGGGUCAAGACUGACGCUCAUG